CACAGAUGUUAUUUUAUAACGGUGAUUCUCAAAUAAAAAAAUUUUCUAGCAGCAAUCCCAAACGGGCUCUAAAUUAUGCCUUUUACAAUAUAACUUGUGGGUUCCGAACUUAUUCUUUUGUCUCUAUCGACAUAAAUUCUAUAGGAAUGAAAUGGCAUAACUUGACUUGUGUUAUAUUAUAUUAUGAUACAAAAUACAAACUUAUAUGAGAAAGAAAAAUCCCUAUUGAAGUUUGGAUAGAUAAGUGGCUUGACAUUGCCCUUCAGGAGGAGGUAAAAGUCCUGUUCUGCAAAGUUGAAGGCUUCUCAUACACUUGUCAUGUUUGGACAGUCUUGGCAUCAAAAUCUUUAAGAGUAUCGGUUCUGAUGAGCUGUAAUCUGACACGUUCGUCGUAAUCCAGUAGUGAGGUGAAUUGUGAUUCUUGAGAAAUCGUUCUCCAUCUUUUGUAAGUUUAGACAAGAACAAGAUUUGAACACUACUUAAUAGUUGUCCCAUGAUUGUCAGUUUCAACCUGAGUAUUGUAUUGGGUUGAAAGUAAUUGAGAUGCGUAGUCUUCGAAAGAUCAGGUCAGUUUCCAUUUGGAUGAACAUAAAACAUCAUAUUAAAAUCCAAAAAUAUCACAAUCUGAAAUAUAGAGUUAGUAGGUGGGGAGAUAACUGUUUGAUUGAAUCUGAAAUCGAAGAUCGAAAUGAUUGCAUGUUUAUCUCUGUGUUUUAUGAGUAAGCAAUCAUUGUAAAGCACCUCUCAAACUCAGAUCAGAUGUUCUUCCAACUUGAAUCACUCAGAACAAAUACUAAUAGCUUAAUUGAAUCGUUCAAGAUCAAAUAUGUUAAUCAAAGUGCUUCUCCGAUUGCUCAAGAUAUCUCUUUUAAACGGAGGAACAUAACAAGUUCAUCUUGGUGAGAAUGGCAUGAUUUUGAAAUUGACAUAUGCUGGAAUUCAUGCUGUUUUGUCAUGUGGUAUUCAUAUUGGAUUGGGUUUGAUUCAUAAUAUUGAAAGCAUAUUUUUGAACUCUUUGCAAUCGUUUUAGUGUAGCACAUCAGGAUUCAACAACAAUAAUAUAUCCAAUGUAAUCAUACAAAUGGAGUCUGGGAAGCGGAGGAUGUGGCCGGUGUUUACGCAAACCUUAUCCCUGCCUUGUGAAAUUAGAGAGACGGUCUCCAAUAGACCCUCGCUCAGAN
rnacentral:lncRNA from 1 species